CAAAUUAUAACUUUUAGGGAGUAUUAUUAUUUACAUUAAUAAGUUAGUUGUGCAAUUCAACUUAAUUUGA
rnacentral:tRNA from 4 species